rnacentral:rRNA from 1 species
GACGGGACCGCACAAGCGGUGGAUGAUGUGGUUUAAUUCGAUGCAACGCGAAAACUUACCACCUUUGACAUGUAUGGAAGUUUCCAGAGAUGGAUUCGUGCUCGAAAGAGAGCCAUAACACAGGUGCUGCAUGGCUGUCGUCAGCUCGUGUCGUGAGAUGUUGGGUUAAGUCCCGCAACGAGCGCAACCCUUGUCAUUAGUUGCUACAUCUGGUUGGGCACUCUAAUGAGACUGCCGGUGGACAAACCGGAGGAAGGUGGGGAUGACGUCAAGUCCUCAUGGCCCUUAUAGGUGGGGCUACACACGUCAUACAACGGCCGGUACAAAGGGUCGCAAACCCGCGAGGGGGAGCCAAUCCAUCAAAGCCGGUCGUAGUCCGGAUUGGAGUCUGCAACUCGACUCCAUGAAGUUGGAAUCGCUAGUAAUCGCGGAUCAGCACGCCGCGGUGAAUACGUUCCCGGGCCUU